UUGCCCUACGGGACGCAGCAGUGGGGGAUAUUGCACAAUGGGGGGAACCCUGAUGCAGCGACGCCGCGUGGGUGAAGAAGCGCCUCGGCGCGUAAAGCCCUGUCAGCAGGGAAGAGAAUGACGGUACCUGAAGAAGAAGCCCCGGCUAACUACGUGCCAGCAGCCGCGGGAAUACGUAGGGGGCCAGCGUUAUCCGGAUUUACUGGGUGUAAAGGGGGCGCAGACGGUGAUGCAA
rnacentral:rRNA from 1 species